UAGUAACGAGUAGAUGGGGAUGUAGCUCAGAUGGUAGAGCGCUCGCUUAGCAUGCGAGAGGUAUGGGGAUCGAUACCCCGCAUCUCCAAC
rnacentral:tRNA from 1 species